AGGUGCUGGCCGAUGCCAGCGAUGCCGCGCUGCUGUCGCGGGUGGAACAGGAGGUCGCACGUCCGUUCGACCUCGGGCAGGGCCCGC
rnacentral:tRNA from 1 species